rnacentral:rRNA from 1 species
CUACGGGUUGCACCAGUGGGGAAUCUUAGACAAUGGGGGCAACCCUGAUCUAGCCAUGCCGCGUGAGUGAUGAAGGCCUUAGGGUCGUAAAGCUCUUUCGCCUGUGAUGAUAAUGACAGUAGCAGGUAAAGAAACCCCGGCUAACUCCGUGCCAGCAGCCGCGGUAAUACGGAGGGGGUUAGCGUUGUUCGGAAUUACUGGGCGUAAAGCGCGCGUAGGCGGAUUAGAAAGUUGGGGGUGAAAUCCCGGGGCUCAACCUCGGAACUGCCUCCAAAACUGCUAGUCUAGAGUUCGAGAGAGGUGAGUGGAAUUCCGAGUGUAGAGGUGAAAUUCGUAGAUAUUCGGAGGAACACCAGUGGCGAAGGCGGCUCACUGGCUCGAUACUGACGCUGAGGUGCGAAAGUGUGGGGAGCAAACAGGAUUAGAUACCCGGGUAGUC